GAGUGGCGAACGGGUGAGUAACACGUGGGCAACCUGCCCAAAAGAGGGGGAUAACACUUGGAAACAGGUGCUAAUACCGCAUAACCAUAGUUACCGCAUGGUAACUAUGUAAAAGGUGGCUAUGCUACCGCUUUUGGAUGGGCCCGCGGCGCAUCAGCUAGUUGGUGGGGUAAAGGCUUACCAAGGCAAUGAUGCGUAGCCGAACUGAGAGGUUGAUCGGCCACAUUGGGACUGAGACACGGCCCAAACUCCUACGGGAGGCAGCAGUAGGGAAUCUUCCACAAUGGGCGAAAGCCUGAUGGAGCAACGCCGCGUGGGUGAAGAAGGUCUUCGGAUCGUAAAACCCUGUUGUUAGAGAAGAAAGUGCGUGAGAGUAACUGUUCACGUUUCGACGGUAUCUAACCAGAAAGCCACGGCUAACUACGUGCCAGCAGCCGCGGUAAUACGUAGGUGGCAAGCGUUAUCCGGAUUUAUUGGGCGUAAAGGGAACGCAGGCGGUCUUUUAAGUCUGAUGUGAAAGCCUUCGGCUUAACCGGAGUAGUGCAUUGGAAACUGGGAGACUUGAGUGCAGAAGAGGAGAGUGGAACUCCAUGUGUAGCGGUGAAAUGCGUAGAUAUAUGGAAGAACACCAGUGGCGAAAGCGGCUCUCUGGUCUGUAACUGACGCUGAGGUUCGAAAGCGUGGGUAGCAAACAGGAUUAGAUACCCUGGUAGUCCACGCCGUAAACGAUGAAUGCUAAGUGUUGGAGGGUUUCCGCCCUUCAGUGCUGCAGCUAACGCAAUAAGCAUUCCGCCUGGGGAGUACGACCGCAAGGUUGAAACU
rnacentral:rRNA from 1 species